rnacentral:rRNA from 4 species
GGACCAAGGAGUCUAGCAUGUGCGCGAGUCAUUGGGAUUUUUACUAAACCUAAAGGCGCAAUGAAAGUGAAGGUCCGCCUUGCGCGGACCGAGGGAGGAUGGACCGUUCCGAGGGACGGCCUCGCACUCCCGGGGCGUCUCGUUCUCAUCGCGAGAAGAGGCGCACCCAGAGCGUACACGCUGGGACCCGAAAGAUGGUGAACUAUGCCUGGUCAGGACGAAGUCAGGGGAAACCCUGAUGGAGGUCCGUAGCGAUUCUGACGUGCAAAUCGAUCGUCGGAACUGGGUAUAGGGGCGAAAGACUAAUCGAACCAUCUAGUAGCUGGUUCCCUCCGAAGUUUCCCUCAGGAUAGCUGGCGCUCGCUUCUCGCGAGUCUCAUUCGGUAAAGCGAAUGAUUAGAGGCAUUGGGGUCGAAACGGCCUCAACCUAUUCUCAAACUUUAAAUGGGUGAGAUCUCCGGCUUGCUUGAACUGUGAAGCCGCGAGAUAUCGGAUCAGAGUGCCAAGUGGGCCACUUUUGGUAAGCAGAACUGGCGCUGUGGGAUGAACCAAACGCAGAGUUAAAGCGCCUAAAUCGACGCUUAUGGGAUACCAUGAAAGGCGUUGGUAACUUAAGACAGCAGGACGGUGGCCAUGGAAGUCGGA